ACAGGAAGAGCAAAGAGAAGAACCUCGUGUUAAUGGACCGGACCUAUGGCCUCCUAAGUGAUGUGACAACACCUCCUGCAUGGGAGCAGUGAGAAGGACAUGGAUCUCCAGUGAUGUGACAACACCACCUGCAUGGGAGCAGUGAGAAGGACAUGGAUGUCCCCCACCAGACCAUUCAAGCCUGAGGUGUGCACAUGCUUGGCUGAGGAAAAGUCUAUAGGUGUUUUAAGUUUUCAGCUUGCCAGAGGAUGAACCGAGCCUGGCAACUAAGAUAUUGUAAUGGGUGUGUCUCAACCAACUCCU
rnacentral:lncRNA from 1 species